AAAAACAACUGUGCCCUCUCAAAAUUUUGCUUUGUAAUUAGGAAAUGAAUGAUAUAAAACCUUUGACAUCCAGGAACCAUAAGAACAGGGAAGUCCAGAUGCUUCUGUGAAGCUUCCAGCUCUUGAUUCCCAUAUGUGUAAGUCUCAGAUCAAGUCUAUCUCUUCAGCGAUACCACUCCAACCCUUCCAAGGGCUCCCUGAACUUUUCAAAGUUCCACUUAUUUUUCCUUUUUUUUCAUACAAAGACAGAAGGUCAGCUUCUUUCUCCCCAUCUCUGAUCUCUUUAUCCUUUUUGUUCUCACUCCCAAAUGGCUGUUUACUCUGAAUUAGUGGCCAAUUAGCAAACCGGAGAGUUACUGAGGGAAUAUGUGAGAGGCAGUUCCUGUCAGGACAGUAAUUGUUACAUCACAGAAGAAGCUAGGGCUCUCCUAGUUACAACAAAUUUGUCAUGGAGGUCCUAUUUAUGAUGUCACUGAGAACGGCCAUCUCCUACAUGCUAAACAGCUUUCCUUACAUUUACCAGAUUCGAAGGUGUCCUUUCCAGUUCAAGGUAAACUGGAGGUUCACUUGGGAUGCAAUGAAGAGCCCCUGACAAGCAUAUUCUUCAAAGCCUCCCAUGGUGUAACUGAAGAUACGAUAUGUGAAGUAGCCCUAGCUUGCCUGCUCAAGAAAGGAUUACAAGAGCUGAAGACAUUAUCAACCCCAUCAGAAGAAUAAUGCAAAUGAACAAGAACCUUCUGGUACUAUAAAGAUAUUCAAAGACUGUACAUGGACAGACCUAUUGCUCCAACUGCAUGUGUGGCAGAGGAUGGCAUUGUUGGACACCAAAGGAAGGAGAGGCCUUUGGUUCUCCAUAGGUUUCACUCCCAGUUCAAGGAAAUUUCAACGGGUAGUAAGGGUGGUUUAAGUGUAAAGGAAAGGAAACAUUUAGGUCUCUUACGGAGAGGAAACUGGGAAUGGAAAUAACAUUUAAAUAUAGAUAUAGAAAUAUCCAAAAAGUAUUAAAAUUAGCUUAAAAUUAAAAAAAAAUGAAAGAAAUAAAAGUAAAUAAAACUGCAAGGUAAUCAGACAUAUUGAUUCAUAAAUCUAGAGGGACACUGUCAGGGAAUGGUAGUCAGCAUAACACUAGUGGAAAGACUGAGAUGAUGAACUCUCAACUAGAAGUAUUUCUCUCUCCCAGAUAUCUGUGUCAGACACAAACUGCGAUGUAGGAAUCAAAAACAUGGAGGAGUUUACUAUGAGCUGAGGAUACAAUACUUGUCUUUCCCUCUUUCCUUGGGACGUUUUCCUUCUGGGAGAAAAAAUAAAACCCAUGCACUCUCAGAAAGAAAAAAAAACAAAAAACAAAAACAAAAACAAAAAAAAAAAAAACAACCAAAAAAAAAACUGUACCCGUCCUAACACCUGGCUUUUGUAAUAAUGAAAUUAAUGAUAAUAAAAUCUCUGACUUCCAGGAACCAUAACAAACAAGGAAAUCCAGAUGCUACUAAAAGGCUACCACUUCCUCAAUCCCAUAUGUG